rnacentral:rRNA from 1 species
UACGUAGGGUGCAAGCGUUAAUCGGAAUUACUGGGCGUAAAGCGUGCGCAGGCGGUUGUGCAAGACAGAUGUGAAAUCCCCGGGCUCAACCUGGGAAUUGCAUUUGUGACUGCACGGCUAGAGUGUGUCAGAGGGGGUAGAAUUCCACGUGUGAGCAGUGAAAUGCGUAGAGAUGUGGAGGAAUACCGGAUGGCGAAGGCAGCCCCUGGGAUAACACGUGACGCCUCAUGGCACGAAAGCCGUGGG